rnacentral:ribozyme from 1 species
ACUCGACCGUGCGAGUAUAAAUAGUGUGCUUAGGCACGGUGCGGCAAGAAUAAUCUUGUAUGCAC